GAUGAACGCUGGCGGCGUGCUUAACACAUGCAAGUCGAACGGAAAGGCCACAGCUUGCUGUGGUACUCGAGUGGCGAACGGGUGAGUAACACGUGGGUGAUCUGCCCUGUACUUCGGGAUAAGCUUGUGAAACUGGGUCUAAUACCGGAUAGGAAUCACAUGUGGGUGUGUGGUUGGAAAGCUUUUGCGGUAUGGGAUGAGCUCGCGGCCUAUCAGCUUGUUGGUGGGGUAAUGGCCUACCAAGGCGUCGACGGGUAGCCGGCCUGAGAGGGUGUACGGCCACAUUGGGACUGAGAUACGGCCCAGACUCCUACGGGAGGCAGCAGUGGGGAAUAUUGCACAAUGGGCGCAAGCCUGAUGCAGCGACGCCGCGUGGGGGAUGACGGCCUUCGGGUUGUAAACUCCUUUCGUCAGGGACGAAGCGAAAGUGACGGUACCUGGAUAAGAAGCACCGGCUAACUACGUG
rnacentral:rRNA from 1 species